UGGGGACAGAGGAUGCAUCUCAUGAUACCAAAUGGAUCGUUUGCAUCUGAAUUAUUUCAUUGAUGUCUAAUAUCACCUUGGAGAACUGAUGCCCAA